rnacentral:rRNA from 1 species
GUCGUAACAAGGUCUCCGUAGGCGAACCUGCGGAGGGAUCNUUACACAAAUAUGAAGGCGGGCUGGAACCUCUCGGGGUUACAGCCUUGCUGAAUUAUUCACCCUUGUCUUUUGCGUACUUCUUGUUUCCUUGGUGGGUUCGCCCACCACUAGGACAAACAUAAACCUUUUGUAAUUGCAAUCAGCGUCAGUAACAAAUUAAUAAUUACAACUUUCAACAACGGAUCUCUUGGUUCUGGCAUCGAUGAAGAACGCAGCGAAAUGCGAUAAGUAGUGUGAAUUGCAGAAUUCAGUGAAUCAUCGAAUCUUUGAACGCACAUUGCGCCCUUUGGUAUUCCAAAGGGCAUGCCUGUUCGAGCGUCAUUUGUACCCUCAAGCUUUGCUUGGUGUUGGGCGUCUUGUCUCUAGCUUUGCUGGAGACUCGCCUUAAAGUAAUUGGCAGCCGGCCUACUGGUUUCGGAGCGCAGCACAAGUCGCACUCUCUAUCAGCAAAGGUCUAGCAUCCAUUAAGCCUUUUUUUCAACUUUUGACCUCGGAUCAGGUAGGGAUACCCGCUGAACUUAAGCAUAUCA